rnacentral:rRNA from 1 species
UGGGGAAUAUUGCACAAUGGGCGCAAGCCUGAUGCAGCCAUGCCGCGUGUAUGAAGAAGGCCUUCGGGUUGUAAAGUACUUUCAGCGGGGAGGAAGGGAGUAAAGUUAAUACCUUUGCCCAUUGACGUUACCCGCAGAAGAAGCACCGGCUAACUCCGUGCCAGCAGCCGCGGUAAUACGGAGGGUGCAAGCGUUAAUCGGAAUUACUGGGCGUAAAGCGCACGCAGGCGGUUUGUUAAGUCAGAUGUGAAAUCCCCGGGCUCAACCUGGGAACUGCAUCUGAUACUGGCAAGCUUGAGUCUCGUAGAGGGGGGUAGAAUUCCAGGUGUAGCGGUGACAUGCGUAGAGAUCUGGAGGAAUACUGGUGGCGAAGGCGGCCCCCUGGACGAAGACUGACGAUCAGGUGCGAAAGCGUGGGGAGCAAACAGG